GAUGAACGCUGGCGGCGUGCCUAAUACAUGCGAGUCGAGCGAACAGAUGAGGAGCUUGCUCCUCUGACGUUAGCGGCGGACGGGUGAGUAACACGUGGAUAACCUACCUAUAAGACUGGGAUAACUUCGGGAAACCGGAGCUAAUACCGGAUAAUAUAUUGAACCGCAUGGUUCAAUAGUGAAAGACGGUUUUGCUGUCACUUAUAGAUGGAUCCGCGCCGCAUUAGCUAGUUGGUAAGGUAACGGCUUACCAAGGCAACGAUGCGUAGCCGACCUGAGAGGGUGAUCGGCCACACUGGAACUGAGACACGGUCCAGACUCCGACGGGAGGCAGCAGGAGGGAAUCUUCCGCAAUGGGCGAAAGCCUGACGGAGCAACGCCGCGGGAGUGAUGAAGGUCUUCGGAUUGUAAAACUCUGUUAUUAGGGAAGAACAAAUGUGUAAGUAACUAUGCACGUCUUGACGGUACCUAAUCAGAAAGCCACGGCUAACUACGU
rnacentral:rRNA from 1 species